rnacentral:rRNA from 1 species
CCCUUAGAUGUUCUGGGCCGCACGCGUGCUACACUGAGUAAUUCAAUGGGUAAGGGAACGCUAGAGCAUUACCUAAUCUUGAAAUUUGCUCGUGAUGGGGAUCGACGGUUGCAAUUUUCCGUCGUGAACGAGGAAUACCUUGUAGGCGCAUGUCAUCAUCAUGCGCCGAAUACGUCCCUGCCCUUUGUACACACCGCCCGUCGCUCCUACCGAUUGAGUGAUCCGGUGAGGCUCUGGGACCUGGACGGAAAGAGCGUUUCGCUUGUUCUGUUUGGGAAACUUGGUCGAACCGUAUCAUUUAGAGGAAGGAGAAGUCGUAACA